CUUUUGAUUAUAAUAUAAGGUUUAACCUGCCCAAUGAAGAUUUAAAUGGCCGCAGUAUUUUGACUGUGCAAAGGUAGCAUAAUCAUUUGUUUUUUAAUUGAAAGCUGGAAUGAAAGGUUGAAUGAGAAAAUAACUGUCUCUAUUUAAUUUAAUUGGAAUUUAUUUUUAAGUUAAAAAGCUUAAAUUUUUUUUGAAGACGAGAAGACCCUAUAGAGUUUAAUAAUUAAUAAAUUUAAAAAAUUUAGGAUUUAUUUUUUUUAAGGUUAUAAAUUAUUUAAUUGGGGUGAUUAAAAAAUUUAAUAAACUUUUUUUUUAUUAAUACAUUAAUUUAUGAUAAUUUGAUCCUUUAAAAGAUUAAAAGAAUAAAUUACCUUAGGGAUAACAGCGUAAUUUUUUUUUAGAGUUCAAAUUAAAAGAAAAGAUUGCGACCUCGAUGUUGGAUUAAAAUUUAUAAWWGGUGUAGCAGCUAAU
rnacentral:rRNA from 1 species